rnacentral:rRNA from 1 species
GACAGAGGGGGCAAGCGUUGCUCGGAAUCACUGGGCGUAAAGGGCGCGUAGGCGGGAUGGCAAGUCGGACGUGAAAUCCUUCGGCUCAACCGAAGAACGUCGGCCGAUACUGCCGUUCUUGAGGGAUGCAGAGGAGAUUGGAAUUCCCGGUGUAGCGGUGAAAUGUGUAGAGAUCGGGGGGAACACCGGUGGCGAAGGCGGGUCUCUGGGCAUCUCCUGACGCUGAGGCGCGAAAGCGUGGGGAGCAAACGGG